rnacentral:lncRNA from 1 species
UCCGUAGACGCAAGAGACAUGGGAGCACAACUUGGAAAUUGCCUCAUCUUCAUCAGCGCCCCUCCCCCGCCCCCCUGAAAACCCCUCCCCCCACAGGGGAACUUUGCCGCCGAGUUCAACUGACCGUCACCUAUUCGGGUGUGCACGUGCAAAGCUUUUCAUCCCGCGUCGCUUUGUUUACGUUUUCACGUUUUUAUUUAUCACACCGAAUCGGCUUGGAUCAAAAAACGAAGAUAAAAACAGUGCAAUAAAUCAGUUUUUUUAUGGUGACUCGGUUGGUGCUUCUGAAUCGGAUGACUUCAGGUUCGAUUCGUGUGAAUAAUUCCGACUGAAUUUAGCUCCUUUGUUGUCGAUGUUUCUUUUUUCAUCCGUUGCGUCUUCCUCUGCUGGGGUACAAGAAAAAAAAUUAUAUCGCGCCCGUAUUUCAUUGUCAGAAAUGUUCUCUCGUUUUUCUUCUUGAAAAUGGUUCCUGAUCGGGUUUUAGCGGUGGAAAAGUGACAGUUUUUACACCGGUUGCCUGAAUUUCGAGGAGUAAAAUGCAUAAGGCUUUGCUUUCGCGAUCUCUGCUGACGGCGUUAGCGACGCUGUCAACACUACCCUUCUCGGCGAGCACCCUCUACCGAAAGACCCGAGAGGAUCAGUACUACUACCGUCGUUACGGGAACAGCUACCCUUCGGCCCACGGUGGGGCCGGCGAGGACGCCCAACCCCGGCAAAUCCCCAGCCCCAAGUACAUUCCGGGCUCCAAAUACCCCACCGAGGGGCAAUGGGUCAAACUAGACCCCAUCGACUACCACUACCCGAAGCCGAGCUACGACUCCAACUCCGGCUUCCGGCCCAACGACUCGCCCUACCCGGACUCGAGGCCCAAGUUCUUCCACUCGGACCACCGCUACUCCCCCAGCGGGCACAGCGGCUACCCCUCCGGCCCCUCUUCCUACCCCUACCCCUCCGGCCCUUCCUCCGCCUACCACCCGCCCUCCGGCUCGUCGUAUCAUCACAGACCCUCUGUCUCCGGCUCAGGUUACCCGUACAACUCGGGGUCCUGGAACUCCCACCAUGGGAUCUCCUCCUACGGUUGGGACAAGCGGCCCACCGACUCGCUCUGUGGGGUUUGCCCUGGAAGCUCGGGGAGCACAGGCAGCCUGGGGGGUGUGGGAGUUUCCCCCCAAAGGGGCGAGUACCGCGGCAACGGCUACGACAACCUGAGCCCCGAGUGGGCGAUCCGCCAGAUGAAGCACCACGGUGGGGGCAGUUACUCGCAUUCGGCCCGACCUCAGUGGGACAGUUGGAACAAGUACCCGCCUCCGGCGGACUACAACCGAGGAACCGACGACCGCGGCAAUGCUGGGAGUAGCUGGAGCUCGGGAUCUGGCUACGGGGGGACGAGCGGUGCGGGGGUGUCAUCGUGGGGAGACAAGCGCCCCGAUCAGGAUCGGCGCCCCUAUUCGCCGCGCCCUUACGACGACCGAAAGGGCAUCUACCCAGUGAAGUCGACCCCAGGGACGGGCUACUGGGACAGUCACCCGCCGCGGGAGAUCGGCUGGGAUCCGGAGGACGGCCGUGUGGGCGUGGUGUCCGGCUGGAUCGGAGGACAGAAAGGGGGCAGCAAGGGAGGUUACAAGGGGGGCUACGACGACUACGAUCGGAAGGACGGUGACGUGGGCCGCGUGACGUCGGGUUACGUCUACGUGCCGAACGCGAUCGAGGCGAAGCCGUGGGACGCCACAACGAAGGGCUAUUCCAAGCCCGCGAACUGGGGCGCAGGCUACGAUCGAGACUACGCCUCCAAGUGGGACUACAACGCCCCUAUGUCGCAUGACAGGAAACCUCAGGGCUAUGAUCACAUGCCAGACAGGUUCGACCGAAGGCCGGAUGGCUGGGACACUAGGCCAGGUGGGUAUGACACCAGACCGGGAGGCUAUGACACCAGGCCUGGUGGGUAUGACACUAGACCUGGUGGGUAUGACACUAGACCUGGUGGGUAUGACACUAGACCAGGUGGGUACGACUCCCGGCCUGGUGGGUAUGACAGUAGGCCUGGCGGAUAUGAUACCGGAACUGGAGGAUAUGACAGUAGACCAGGGGGGUACGACAGUAGACCGGGAGGGUACGAUACCAGGCCAAGUGGCUAUGAUACCAGGCCUGGAGGAUAUGACUCCAAACCAGGUGGAUAUGAUGCAAGGCCUGGAUUCGACAGGAGACCAGACGGGUAUGACAGAGGGUCGGAGGGCUGCAGAACAGGUUGCGGACGGCCGGGUGACACACUCCACGGACAUGACUGGCGAGAGAGCGGAACCAGUCAGGAUGGAUACCCUUCCAAGAGGCCAGACCAUUCCUUCCCGCCUUCAGGCCCUGGCAACUAUGACAGUUCAACCCGAUUCCAAAAUGACAGACUGCCAGCUCCUACGCCCACCCGAUUCAAUGGACACAGCGGUAUCGGAGCAUCGACAGAAUAUGGAUACGUCUACAGAGGCUCUUACCAGCAGGAUAGAGACCAAGUUGUUUCCACCACUAUUUCGUCGCUUCCUGUCUCAACUACCAUUGUCCCAUCUACAACCCUCCCACCGGAGUAA